UUCUUAAUGAUGAAAACGUUUACUCAGCUCACUCAGAGCCUUGCAAUGCUGAUAACCUAUCCUAUCCAACAUUCAUCAAUUUAUCUGACUAUUAA
rfam:Cyberlindnera jadinii strain CBS1600 genome assembly, contig: CJ2